rnacentral:rRNA from 1 species
UUGAACGCUGGCGGCAUGCCUUACACAUGCAAGUCGAACGGUAACAGGUCUUCGGAUGCUGCCGAGUGGCGAACGGGUGAGUAAUACAUCGGAACGUGCCCGAUCGUGGGGGAUAACGAGGCGAAAGCUUUGCUAAUACCGCAUACGAUCUACGGAUGAAAGCGGGGGAUCUUCGGACCUCGCGCGGACGGAGCGGCCGAUGGCAGAUUAGGUAGUUGGUGGGAUAAAAGCUUACCAAGCCGACGAUCUGUAGCUGGUCUGAGAGGAUGAUCAGCCACACUGGGACUGAGACACGGCCCAGACUCCUACGGGAGGCAGCAGUGGGGAAUUUUGGACAAUGGGCGAAAGCCUGAUCCAGCCAUGCCGCGUGCAGGAUGAAGGCCUUCGGGUUGUAAACUGCUUUUGUACGGAACGAAAAGCCUCUUUCUAAUAAAGAGGGGUCAUGACGGUACCGUAAGAAUAAGCACCGGCUAACUACGUG